rnacentral:lncRNA from 10 species
GUUAAUAACAUUUUAGUUAUUUUAAAGAAUGAUAGUAAUUUAGAGAUGUAUUCUGAAUGUUUUUAAAUGAAAAGAUAUGCCUGGGAUUUCUUCCAAAAUGAAUCUUGUAGGUUGGGAAGAAAAUGAGAACAUAGUGGAAACAAGACUGACAAUGAGUUGUUGAGGUUGGGCAAUGCGUACACUAAAGCUUAUUUUAUCUUAUUUUACUGUAUAUACUGUUAAAGCUUGCAUUAUUUUCAUAAAUGCAUUUGCUAAGUGCAACUGUUAUCAAAUAAAGUGGAUUGGGCUCUA